rnacentral:rRNA from 1 species
GAUGCAAGUUUAUCUGAAGUUCCAUCAGAUAUUGUUAAUAUGAAGAGAUUACUGCACAUCCGCCUUCGGAGCGAGUAUAUUUUGCCCAGUGUAGCUGCCCACAUGACAUCUCUUCGCACUCUGGGGUAUUUUGAUAUCGGCAGUCACUCAGAAGAGAAUGUAUUACAUCUUGGUCGGCUGACCAAUCUUCAGGAUCUUCAGCUCACAUGGUCUACAGUGGGGCCAGCAGAAAAACUGGCAAAGAAUGUGCAACUCCUAGGCUCGAUUCUCGAGAAACUCACCUUCUGUCAUUCCCUAACUCUGGUACCAGCUGCUUCAGGCUCCUCGUGUGUAAAUAUUCCUGAGGAUGGCUUCAGCAUGGGGUUUCCUCCUCCAGGCCUUCUUCUUCGCAGGAUGGAGUUGUCGUGGCGCUGUUGCGUCUUCUUCAGCCUCCCAAAGUGGUUUGAAGAGCUCAACAAACUCAGCAUUCUAAAGAUUGGAAUUAGAAGGCUGUUGAGGGAAGAUAUUGAUCUCCUGAAAGGACUGCCUGCCCUCACUGCUCUCAGCCUGUAUAUCCAGACAGUUCCUGCCCUCACUGCUCUCACCCUAUAUAUCCACACAAUUUCCGGAGGAUGCAUCGUCAUUGACAAGGGGGGGUUCCAAGCACUCACGUACUUCAAGUUCAUGUGCGCUGAACCAUGCCUGUUUUUUGUACAAGGAGCAAUGCCCAGAGUCCAAAAGCUCGUGAUAGGGUUCAAUUCAAGCAAAUGGAAACCACAUACCUUUGGAACUGCUGGCUUCUGUCACUUAACAGGCCUUACAGAGGUCUCUGUAAAACUUGGGACCUGGGGUACUGAUGAAUUGGACAUUAACGAUGCCGAGUCUAAAUUGGUGACCGCAGUUAGCAAUCACACGAAUUCUCCUAUAAGCAGAGUACAAUUCGUAGAUAUGAUUUCCUAUGGUGUGGAUGAUAAGAGAACUGCGACUGAAGAAAAACGUGGGGGCGGGGGUGUUGAUAAAUUCGGCAUGAAAGCUGCCAAGUCUGCAUCAUACUCUCGCAUAAGCAAUCACAUGAACUCUUCAAUAAACAGUUCACAAUGGUCUGAUGUGAUUUCUUGUGGCAGUGGGAAUAAGAGUAGCAUAGCUGAAGAAGUGGAGGAAAAGCUACACCAGAUUCGAGACCGACAGAAAAAGAAGAGGGAAAGAUCGGUGGAACAGCCAUCUGUUCUAUCUUUUUUUCCUGAAAAAGAAGUUGAAAAGCCAUAUGAAAUUGAAUAUCGCAAUAAAAAGAUCAAAUAUUUGGAGGAACGCGUGCACAAGCCAUUAGUAAAUACCAGAUAUGUGAGAAAAGAUGGUGCUUCCACUCCUCUGAAGCAUCGCACACAAUCAGCCAACCUUGUGACGGGUGCCUUUAGCUCCCUCCUCCCCAAGAUCCUGGAGCUCCUCAAUGACAAGUACGAUCUGCGGAUGGACAUAAAAAAAAACAUCGAGUCCCUCUACAAGGAGCUGGAGGGUAUGCAAGCUGUCCUCCAUGACUUGGCGAGGAGGGAACAGGCUCAACUGGAUGCUGUGGUCAUGAUCUGGGCCAAGGAAGUAAGAGACCUCUCGUAUAAUGUGGAGGAUAUGAUCGAUUCCUUAACAGGGGAAGAGAUAAGAGGCUUGUCCGAGAAGACCCCGUUCUUCUUCCUCGUGAACGACACUGACUUCAUCUAUGAGAACAGGGAAAAGGUCAUCAAUGAGAUCAGGGAAAAGGUCAAAGGUGUGGCCAGCCGACGUGAGAAGUACAAGGUUGAUGACCGGAUUGUUGCUGCUUAUCCAAAAGCCACAGAUAACGUUGAUCCUCCCCUGUUGGAUCUGUUCCAAGAGUCGGAAGAAGUUAUUGGCAUCGAAGCUCAAGUGGAAGAGGUGAUAAGGCAGCUGAAAGGACACGAUUGGGACAACAACAAUAACAAGCUGAAGAUAGUCUCCAUAGUUGGAAUGGCAGGAUCGGGCAAGACAACUCUUGCGAAAGCAAUUGCCAAAGCAGUUCCCAAAGAAGUGCUUCAUGAUACGGUUUUCGUUUCCGUAUCUCAGGAUCCCAACAUGAAGAGAGUUCUCAUGGACAUCCUCCUUCAAAUUGACGAGCGGGAGUACAGGAGUCUCACUGGAUCAACGUUCGAUGCAAAGCUGCUUAUAAAUAUAAUCCGGAGAGUAAUUGGGAGCAAGAGGUACUUCAUUGUUAUUGAUGAUAUAUGGGAUGUGAAGUCAUGGAAAUUUAUAAAGGAUGCUUUAGAUACUCGAUGUGGAAGUAGAGUAGUCAUAACCACAAGGCUUUUGGAAGUUGCUGUCAAUGCUGGUGAUGUUUACAAGCUAAAAGCACUUUCUCAUUCGCACUCUGGAGAAUUGUUUAAUACAAGAUUAUUUGGUGGCAAAGACAAUGUCCCUCGUGUCGUGCCGGAGGUACCUGAAAAGCUUUUACAGAAAUGUGGUGGUGUACCAUUAGCUAUCAUCACAAUGGCUAGUUUGUUUGCGAGGAAACCAAGGAACUAUUGCUCUAAGGUUUUUCCGGAGGACUAUUUAAUAACGGAAGAAACUUUGAUCUGGAAGUGGGCAGCCGAAGGUUUAAUUGUUGAGGAACCAGGAAGAGGGUUAUUUGAGAUUGGAGAUGGAUACUUCAAGGAACUCAUAGAUAGCAGCGUGGUCAUGCCAGUGGAGGAUGACUCAGAUUAUGGGACAAUUGUUGGUUGCCGUGUCCAUUACUUGGUUUUUGAUAUGAUCUGUUCCUUAUCAGCUAUAGAAAAUUUUGUUACCAUAGAGGAUGGAAGCAGUCAAUACUCUCUUAUUGAAAGCAAGCAGGCUCGCAGGUUAGGUAUCCAAAAGUGGACCACGGAGAACGGCGACCCUCUGGCUAACAUUGGCUCGAGAAGUCUGAGGUCAUUUAAUACCACGGGGUGUCGUUUUAGUGUGGAACUAUCACUUUCAAGGUUUAAGCUCUUGCGUGUCAUUGCUAUCGAAGAAUGCACAUUGCUUGAUGGCGAUCUUUCUCCUCUGGGGAAGUUAAUUUUGUUGAGGUACCUCGGACUAUAUCACACACUUAUCAAGAAGCUACCGGAAGACAUUGGUGAGCUAAUUUAUUUGCAGACACUGGACCUGAGGGGGACCAGGGUCCAUGGAUUGCCCUGGGAAGUUACUCAGAUAAGUCAGCUCAAGUGCCUGCGAGCUGAUGGAGACACAGCAAUGCCUUACGGGAUGGGAAAACUUACAUCCUUAGAAGAGCUGCGGCUGGGCGCGAUUGACACGUCGGCAGACUUUGUGGAUGGGUUGGGCAGACUGACAGAGCUGAGGGAGCUCGAGAUUCGGAUUAACCAGUUGGAUGUGAACGAGGCGGGAGCUUUGGUGCAGUCUCUGAAAAAACUAGAGAAAAUCCAAGUCCUAAGACUUGUGGGAUUUCCUUGGCCACCAUCUCGUGUUGACGAGCUCAACUGGGGAAACUUUGAUCCGCCUCAACAACUCCGUGAGUUGCAUCUAAGCAUCCCAUCCACUCGGCUGCCGGCGUGGGUUCACGUCUCCCGUGUUCCAAUGCUCUCACACUUAGUUGUGAGCCUCAAGUCUAAGGAGGAUCAGGAUUUGGAUAUUCUUGGUGCUUUGCCAGAGCUCAGUAGUCUGCAGCUGGUGCUGCCGUCGAAAGUGGUCCUCAGCAUCACUGGUCGUUCCGGUGCAUUCCCGAGGUUGAGAAAGUGGAAGUGGAAAUAACAUCCAAUGCUCUCUCCUUUGAGUCGAUGAAUGAGGUGAUGAAGCGUGCAGUGGACCAACAUCGAAACCAUCCCAGCCUUCGUGUCAUCAAAGUAGAUCAUGUACGUACAGAUAUCAAGGCAUUUUUUUU